AAAGUGGAUUAGUGGCGCACGGGUGAGUAAUGCAUAGGUUAUGUGCCCCAUAGUCUGGGAUAGCCACUGGAAACGGUGAUUAAUACCGGAUACUCCUUACGAGGGAAAGUCUUUCGCUAUGGGAUCAGCCUAUGUCCUAUCAGCUAGUUGGUGAGGUAAUGGCUCACCAAGGCUAUGACGGGUAUCCGGCCUGAGAGGGUGAACGGACACACUGGAACUGAGACACGGUCCAGACUCCUACGGGAGGCAGCAGUAGGGAAUAUUGCUCAAUGGGCGAAAGCCUGAAGCAGCAACGCCGCGUGGAGGAUGAAGGUUUAGGAUUGUAAACUCCUUUUGUUAGAGAAGAUU
rnacentral:rRNA from 1 species